rnacentral:lncRNA from 1 species
AUGCCAACAAAUUUGGAAAACUCAGCAGUGGCCACAGGACUGGAAAAGGUCAGUUUCCAAUCCCAAAGAAAGGUAAUGCCAAAGAAUGCUCAAACUACCACACAAUUGCACUCAUCUCACACGCUAGUAACGCUCAAAAUUCUCCAAGCCAGGCUUCAGCAAUACGUGAACUGUGAACUUCCUGAUGUUCAAGCUUGUUUUAGAAAAGGCAGAGGAACCAGAGAUCAAAUUGCCAACAUCUGCUGGAUCAUGGAAAAAGUAAGAGAGUUCGAGAAAAACAUCUACUUCUGCUUUAUUGACUAUGCCAAAGCCUUUGACUGUGUGGAUCACAAUAAACUGUGGAAAAUUCUGAAAGAGAUGGGAAUACCAGACCACCUGACCCGCCUCUUGAGAAACCUAUAUGCAGGUCAGGAAGCAACAGUUAGAACUGGACAUGGAACAAUAGACUGGUUCCAAAUAGGAAAAAGAGUAGGUCAAGGCUGUAUAUUGUCACCAAGCUUAUCUAACUUAUAUGCCAAGUACAUCAUGAGAAACGCUGGGCUGGAAGAAGCACAAGCUGGAAUCAAGAUUGCCAGGAGACAUACCAAUAAUCUCAGAUAUGCAGAUGACACCACCCUUAUGGCAGAAAGUGAAGAGGAACUAAAAAGCCUCUUGAUGAACGUGAAAGAGGAGAGUGAAAAAGUUGGCUUAAAGCUCAACAUUCAGAAGAUGAAGAUCAUGGCAUCUGGUCCCAUCACUUCAUGGGAAAUAGAUAGGGAAACAGUGGAAACAGUGUCAGACUUUAUUUUUUUUUUUGGCUCCAAAAUCACUGCAGAUGGUGACUGCAGCCAUGAAAUUAAAAGACACUUACGCCUUGGAAAAAAAGUUAUGACCAACCUAGAUAGUAUAUUGAAAAGCAGAGAUAUUGCUUUGCCAACAAAGGUCUGUCUAGUCAAGGCUAUGGUUUUUCCUGUGGUCAUGUAUGGAUGUGAGAGUUGGACUCUGAAGAGAGCUGAGCGCUGA